rnacentral:pre_miRNA from 1 species
AGUUUAAUUGCUGGGUCAUAUGGUAACUAACUUUUUGAGGAACUACCAAACUAUUUUCUAAGGCAGCUGCACCUUUUGAAAUUUCCACCAGCAAU